AGAUUGAACGCUGGCGGCAUGCCUUACACAUGCAAGUCGAACGGCAGCACGGGAGCAAUCCUGGUGGCGAGUGGCGAACGGGUGAGUAAUACAUCGGAACGUGCCCAAUCGUGGGGGAUAACGCAGCGAAAGCUGUGCUAAUACCGCAUAAGAUCUACGGAUGAAAGCAGGGGAUCGCAAGACCUUGCGCGAAUGGAGCGGCCGAUGGCAGAUUAGGUAGUUGGUGAGGUAAAGGCUCACCAAGCCUUCGAUCUGUAGCUGGUCUGAGAGGACACCAGCCACACUGGGACUGACGACACGGCCAGACUCCGACGGAGCAGCAGGUGGGUAAUUUGGACAAGUGGGACGAAGCC
rnacentral:rRNA from 1 species